UUAACCCUCUGCAACUCCGGUAACUUAUCAUCUUCUCAGCGAGCACCUCGAUUUUCAACCAGCUUUUAUGAUUUCCACUUCCGUUAUUUCGAUAUCACAGGAACACCCUCUAUUGGCUGUGUUUUCAAAACUCUCAUCAUUACUGCAUAAAAAAAGAUUCCGACCAAUCUUUCGACUUCCCUAUCCAGUAUCCGGCAACUUCCGUGUUCUGAAGAGCAUCAAUCUAAUCCCCCCACAAGUAAAGCCUACGGUUGUCAAGC
rnacentral:lncRNA from 1 species